UACGUAGGGGGCUAGCGUUGUCCGGAAUCAUUGGGCGUAAAGCGCGCGUAGGCGGCCAGAUAAGUCCGGUGUGAAAGUCACAGGCUCAACCUGUGAAUGCCGCUGGAAACUGUCUGGCUUGAGUCCGGAAGGGGCGAGUGGAAUUCCUGGUGUAGCGGUGAAAUGCGUAGAUAUCUGGAGGAAUACCGGUGGCGAAGGCGGCAUCCUGGACCGACAUUGACGCUGAACGGCGAAAGCUAGGGGAGCAAACGGG
rnacentral:rRNA from 1 species